rnacentral:tRNA from 1 species
AGGAACGUAGUUUAAUGGUAAAACCGUGAAAUGCGCUGUCGAACGAGAAGUGCUGCCGAGCUAAAGGCGGGUCUUCUGCUAGUAGAUAACAGAGUAGCAGUUGUCGGUUCGAUUCCGACCGUUCCGC